rnacentral:tRNA from 1 species
GGUUAUGGCUCAGUGGUAGAGUGUUUGCCUUGCAUGUAUGAGGCACUGGAUUCGAUUCUCAGCACCA